AUAUCUACUUAAUUUAAUUAAAAUAUCAAUAUUUUAUAAUUAAGUAUCAUACUAAAAUAAUGAUACAUGUAUUUUUUUAUAUAAUAAAAUUAAAAAUAGUAAUUAAAUAUUUAUGAUGUCAUGUUGACAUUACUAAUUCAAUCAAUGACUAAUCCACUAUUGAGCUAGUGAUGUUUAACUUAAUAAUAUUUUGGGAAAACUUCAAAUACCAUCCUUAUGGUUUCACACUUUCUCACUUUUAUACUCUGUGGUUUAAAGUGUGUCAAUUCAGUGCCCUAUGAUUUUAUUUUUAUCUUUUAUUAUUGAUUUUACUAAUUUUUUUUCGUUAAAUCAGUAACAAAGUUAAAACUAAAGGAUACUAACGUGAAUAUUCGAUAAACCUAGAUGUGAUAUCUAAAGUUUUUUGUAUAUAAUUUAACGAAAUAUUAAUGGAAAGGCUGACGAAAAGAUAAAAAUAAAAUCACGGGACACUAACUCGAUACACUUUAAACCUGUUGGGAGCCGAAUUUCCUUCGCUUAGAAAUGGUCAAAGAUCCUCUUAGGAAAGCGAUUCAGCUGAUGAGGGAUCAGAUCAGCCAAGUUCGAAACCCUUUACUGUAAAAACAGUUCGGCUAGAUAAGCCGAAUGUACAGAUUGCACAAAGACUUUGGGUUGGCUGAAGAGCCGAAUAGAUGGAAUACACAGCGAUUGGUCGGCUGAAGAGCCGAAUAGAUGGAAUACACAGUGACUGGUCGGCUGAAAGAGCCAAAUAUCUUUAUAUAUUAAAAUAAAGUUGGGAACUCAUACAAAACAGAGUGUGCCCGAAGGACAUACAGAUUCUGAAAAUCUAGAUUACAACAGAGUGAGCCCGUAGGGCAUACAGACUCCAGAUAUCUAACUUAAAAACUACCCCUAAAAAAGCAGUAAAUGCGGAUUAAAAAGAUUACAUGUAAACUACUCCUAGAAAAGUGAUAAAUGCAGAAAAAUAAAGGUAUUGAAAAUGCGGUGGUCUUCUUGUUCAGGGGAGAGAAAGACCUCUAUUAUAGGUUUCAAAGUUACUAUUUAUAAUAUCUUAUCAGCCCACAUUAUUGGUUGGUUAUAGUAGUGAGGGAAGUGGUGAGCCAUGAUCAUGGAAGUUAUGCUCCACUUCUCAACCGUUUCCGCCUAAACACUCUUAACCUUCAGGCGCCUUAUUGCCGACUCCUGAUGUAUCAUGUGUGCUUAUUUCUUUGGCUCAUACGUGGGUUACGUCGGCGUGUUAAUUUUUAAUAUCAACAAAACCACAAAGUACUAAAGUAAGAAAGUACGAAAUUACAGAAAUGGUAUUUAAAGUUUACCCUAAUAUUUUUGGAUCGUUAUUCGAUUGUUUUAAAAUAUUGAUACAU
rnacentral:lncRNA from 1 species